rnacentral:lncRNA from 1 species
CACAAAAUUGGCUACCUAAGGGUUUGAUCAAGCUUCCCUCAUUGGACUAAGCUUGGAGCCCCUGUUCCUACCCUGUUUCUCGCUGGGGAAAAUGAGCUGUGAGAUGAAAAGGGAAUGCACUUCCUUUGUAGUCCUUAUUCCCCUGGCGUACUUCCAGGAUAUCCAGGCAGUAUCAUCCAGGAACAGGAAGCGCACAGAAGGGGAAGAAGCCACAGCACUUCCGGUCUGGCCAGUGCCUGCUUAGCGCGGUCCAUAGACGAAUGCUGUCAGGUUUCUAACGGGGGGGGUGUGUUCAUCUGUAGACAGUUGUCUGACCUGAAGACAAACCCCACCCUGUUUGAAAGUACAGAUUAAAAUAUUAUGAUCUGUGGUGGUAUCCGGGUGCCUUCCACGCCCAUUUGUGAACACCCCAACUCAAAAACAGAGUCCAGUAAAUACCUUUAAGGGCCCAGGAAUGAAUAUAUGCCUAGUUAAGAAAUGAGACUUGAAUAAGUAGAGCCUGAAGGAAUAGUUUUUCUUAAAUCCUAUGUUAUAAAAUGUUCCUUCUAGCUUUAAAUUAAUUAUGAGUGCACCACCGUGAGGUCCAGAGUUGAAAAAGAAGGAAUAUGAGGAUGGUGGGGGGUGGGGGGGACAGGUUGGGGGAUGAAUACCUGAUUCUUUUCAAUGCUUGUGGAAAUCUUUGAAGUAAUGAAAUUCAUACUAUAGAAUGGCCAUUAGAACAAACACCCUAUUUUACAGCUCAUAGUACAACAUCAAAUGUUAGUAAGUCUAACUAUGAUAAAUGUAAUUUUGGGUAUAUAAAUUUGCUAAAGCAGUCUAUUUUCUUGCAUUCCUCAGUUUAACUUCAUAAAAAAAUCAAAAGGAGAGAGGCUCUCUAGUCUUUAAUGCUGAAGUAUUAUCAAUCCUGAUUAGCUUAAGUUUAUGCAUUAUGACACCUACUGAAUGAAACUGAUUAUACAUCUCCUUUUAAGUUAAUCAGUCUUUACAAGUUGUCGACUGAUUCCCAAAUCUGAUAAGGAAGGAUCAAAAAGUAGGAUCAAGGAAAUUCAUCAGUUGGUAGCCAAGAAAUUUCCUUUGUAAUGUUGAGACUUGUUUUCUCCUUCCUGAAUUUUACUGAUUCUCUAAAAUAAAGGGAAAGAGUUAAAUGCUACCCUUGUUCACCAAGGGAAGUCAUCCCAACUCUAUACCUAGUGCAGAUAUUCCCUUUACAUCUAUAUAUCUUCCCUGGAAAGAAAAUACCUUUUUUUCCCUUCCUCUUUUCUCUUUUCACAUCUACUCUUUUUAAUCAGAUAAGAUAGACAAAGAAAGCAAACCACAAGCCAGUUUGGCAUCUUCUCCAUGCUGAUAGAAUACUCACAGCCACAUGCACAGUUGGAGCAAGGUUACACAGAACCCUGUCAGGUCAGCGUGGAGCAUGGCCUUGCUACUUGGAUUAGCUCCUUCAACCCUGAAAAUAACUUUCCUGGUCAUGGAACAACUGGAUGUAUCCUUUAGCUUAUGAAAUAGGAUUUGAACUUGAAAUCUCUCUUUUUUAAAAAGAACCUGAUUUUGCAGGGCAGCUACAUCAUGAAUGUAUAUAUUAAGACUUUGUAGCUGAAUUGCACACGAAAUCAGAUUGCCAACUUCUUAUCUUUCAAUUUUAGACAUCAUUUUAUCCUUAAGUUGUGAGUGAUAUAUGUAGCAUGCUGUGAAAUGUCUGUUAUAGUUCUUUAAUUCAUCAGUAUUAAUACAGAAUUAUCUUUUUGCGUUCCUUGGUACUUUUUAUUCCAUGUAAUCAGAAGCUGUGAUGUUUUGCCUUUGUCGUCCUGUGCUUUGUUACUGUAAUUUUUUUCUUUUUUACGAAGCACGUGACUUUGGACUAACGUGAGGCGGAUGACGUGAUCUUUAAGACUGCUAUAUAUCUAUCAGUCUCUUACUAUAUAAGGUUUCAAUUAGAAUAAGCUUUUAUCAAAUAGAUCAUUGAUGCAAUUUAGGAUUCACACGAUUUUCAGUGUCAAAUGGCGAUCUUACAUUUAUAGCUUCAAUUCUGAAGACAACAAACUUGAUAAACAGCCACUUUAAACUUGUUCUGGCAAAUCAGACCCUGCUGUAGAUGUAGUCUAAGUUAGUUAACCAUAUAAGCCUUUUCAACUAUUAUGCCCUCCACAUGAGUCAGCAGUUAAGAAGAGUAUAGAACCCAUGAAAGCUUUUUGUAUGUAUAACUAGGUUUUAUUUUUCUUAUGUUGCUGAUUUUACAAUUCUGACUAAAGCUGACCUCAAUGGAUCAGUUUAUGUGUAAUAUUCUAGUGCUUUAAUGCCUCUUUUUUUUUUUUUUGGAGGGAUGGGUAAUAUUAUUUGAACAGCUACAGAAGGAACUGUUGGUGAGUCAAGGCAAACACAUUUGAAAUAAAGCAACUGUGUAUUAACAUGUUAACAAUUCAUAACUGCACUUUUUAUGACAUUUUGAAAAUCUAUUUAUAGGUACAGAACAAUGGGUUUUGUUAAACUGUAUCACAUUUAUACUUGCAGAAAUUUAUUUCAUUGUUAUUAGUAGGAAUUUUAUUGGUUCAAUAAAAUUGGCAAAACUG